UGGAGACACAAAGAGCUAAACUGCCCUCAUUGCCAGUAAAUUACACCGGAAAAGCCUGCACCCAAAGUCUCAAGGAUUGCUGGAAUCUUCCACAUGCACAUUAGCAGGAUAUCAUCUCCUCUUUUGAAACCGCAGAGACACAGUAGUUUGCUCACUGUUCCAAUUCCAAGAUUGAUUGACCCGGACCACCAAGGAAACCCGACAACCUCCUCGCCUGAUCAACUGAGACAAUUCUCACUGAUAUCUUAAAACUGCAGGCCUAAACAAGGCCACAACCAUGCAUAUUUUGACAUGCACGAGUAUU